rnacentral:lncRNA from 1 species
UAACAAAUUUCGUUGUAGAGGGGUCUAAAUACAGCACAAACAACAUUUUCCAAAAGACCAAAAGAGUGAAAAAAUAUAUUUUAACAAAACGCAUUUGACUAACAGGUCGAACAACUGAUGUUCUUAAACCCUGCUGACUGCCAUUGACGAUUGCCAAAUAAAUUGAUCACAAGGUGUAACUAAAUGGAUCUAUAUUAAUUUAAUACGAAUUAGAAGACAAUAAAC